CCGCGAUGCCUUGCAAUCGCAGUUGGCACGGACGAUCUCUGGACCAAGUCCAUAAAAGUUUGUAGAGGAAAUUUUUAUACGCGAACAAAUAUCCCAAUUAUAAGCUAACAAAUAUUUGUGAAAAAUGCCCCAAACAGGAUGUGAUGUCAUAUGUUUGCAACGCUGAACCACACCUUAUCUGGCACGCCCUCCCUUCAAAUCAACGACCCAAUCACACAGAAAGUCCGUUUAACUAAAGUUAAUGUGUGUACAGUCGUUGAGAGGGCAGACAUUUUUGACCAGAAAUAAUUUUGUUUCUCAGGUUUCCUUUGUUUUACUUUAACGACUCGGACUUGGAAGGUGGACACCUAAGACAUAAUAAGAGAAGAACACAGAAGUGAAGAAUAUCCGGUCAGCUCCCUGCAGAAGUUAAAUGUGAAAAGAGCCAAAGAGGCGUGACUGGCAAGGACAAGCAGGAGAGGACAGACGCAGAGACUCCCAGCAUCUUUCUUGAGCUUCCUGGGAUAAUUGCCUCACUCAGAUGGCUUAAGGUUCUUUCAGACCAAAAGCGAAGCGAGCAUUCGGGCGAGCAGGUGACAGGUGAACUACUCGAGUUGACGAAGUUACGUUACAGAACGCUGAAAUACAACCGUGGUGUUUUGUCGGGAGAUGCUGUGACAGAAACCAGCAGUGAGAAAACUAUAAAUCGCUGUGACGUUAGAAGAUGUAGACACCGUGGAUAUUUUACAAGCACCGAUCAGGUAAAGCAACACUGAACACACCUUUUAGGGAGGGCCUCAGCU